GACAGAGGAUGCAAGCGUUAUCCGGAAUGAUUGGGCGUAAAGCGUCUGUAGGUGGCUUUUUAAGUCCGCCGUCAAAUCCCAGGGCUCAACCCUGGACAGGCGGUGGAAACUACCAAGCUGGAGUACGAUAGGGGUAGAGGGAAUUUCCAGUGGAGCGGUGAAAUGCGUAGAUAUUGGAAAGACCACCAAUGGCGAAGGCACUCUACUGGGCCAUUACUGACACUGAGAGACGAAAGCUAGGGGAGCGAAUGGG
rnacentral:rRNA from 1 species